ACUCCCACUGCUUCACUUAACUAACCCUGUGUACGUGGAAGAAUGUGCCUUACUAAGCCCCUGCUGUAAAUCAUUAUAGACCUAUGUCAUUGUAGAAGGUAUAUUAGACUAUGGAAAAUAAACCUCGGCGCCUCGGGCUGUUUGCUAGGGGUCCCCUGUGCCUCGCUAUACUGUCGUCUCUUUUUCUCAGUUCCUUUGCCGCCCCAGGUCCCUGACUCUCAGAGGUUGACAAGUGGCACCCGAACAGGGACCUGAAGCCCCCGUCAAGGAGUGAUCGGCCAGCAAUAGGAACCCUACAGAAGGUGAUGGAUCCAGUGGAGCAAUUUGGAUACCUCUUCGGAAAGUCCGGCCCAGGACCGGAGAUAAAGACAACAGAAGAGGUCUCUCAGCUGCUGCAGGGAUUGACUACCCAGCCCCCUGUCCGAGAGAUGGCAGCACUCUCCUUGAAGAGACCUUGAAAACGAAAAUUGCCCCUGACAACACCCCCAACUUGGGGGCAACUGAAGACCCUCACUCAGAGGGCGGAGCGAGUCCUGGAGACGACCAGAUCUACCAAAACCCCUGAACAUUUGUUGCUGGCUAUGUUAGCGGUGGUGACAUGCGCCUGUGCGGAUACCGUACUUUCAAAAAACGAGUGAAUGCCCAAAACCUCCAUCACAGAGUGCUUAUGGCAGCAGCUGUUUUGAAAAAAGAAAGGGGGAGCUGUAGGAAACAACGCCACAACGACCACUGGUGCAUGUUCGUUCAGACUCCGAGAUCUCUGAGAAAACUCGAGAUUGCAGGGUUAAAAAUAACCCGAAAGGAUCAGAGUGAAAUGCCCUUGGGAUGUGUGUGGUCUGUUCUAAAGUACGCAGCAGAAGAUGUUUUGUAGAUAGGAAGCCAGCUGUAAACAGCACACUGUGCAUUCCCUUCUUUGUUCUCUUAUCCUGUGUUAAGGUCCAAGUACAACGGUGUUUACAAUUAAUUGAUCACAGCCAGUUACAGAUUUCUUUACUCCUUCUCCACUCCCACUGCUUCACUUAACUAACCCUGUGUACGUGGAAGAAUGUGCCUUACUAAGCCCCUGCUGUAAAUCAUUAUAGAUCUAUGUCAUUGUAGAAGGUAUAUUAGACUAUGGAAAAUAAACCUCAGCGCCUCGGGCUGUUUGCUCGGGGUCCCCUGUGCCUCGCUAUA